CUUGCUCUCUUCUGACAAGCGGGGACGGGUGAGUAUUGUGUGGGAAACUGCCUGAGGGAGAGGGAUAUCUACUGUGAACGCUAGCUAAUACCGCAUAACGUCGCAAGACACAAGUGAGGGACCUUCUGGCCUCUUGUCAUCACAUGUGCCCACAUGGGAUUAUCUAUUAUGUGGGGUAACGGCUCACCUAUGCGACAAUCCCUAUCUGGGCUGAGAGAAUGACCCCCCACACUGUAACUGAGACACGGUCCACACUCCUACGGGAGGCAGCAGUGGGGAAUAUUGCGCAAUGGGCGCAAGCCUGAUGCGCCCAUGCCCCGUGUGUGAAAAAAGCCUUCUCGUUGUAAAGCACUUUCUCCGGGGAGAAAAGCGGUGAAGUUAAUAACCUUGUCGAUUGACAUUACCCCCACAAAAAACACCGGCUAACUCCCUGCCACCACCCGCGGUAAUACAGAGGGUGCGAGCGUUAAUCUCAAUUACUGUGCGUAUAGCGCACACACGCGGUCUGUCAAGUCUGAUGUGAAAUCCCCGCGCUCACCCUGUGAACUGCGUUCCAGACUGGGAGGCUAUAGUCUUGCAGAGGGGGGUAGAAAUUCAUGUGU
rnacentral:rRNA from 1 species